CAAAGUUGUGUAGUGCGAUCGGUGGAUGCCUUGGCACCAAGAGCCGAUGAAGGACGUUGUGACCUGCGAUAAGCCCUGGGGAGUUGGUGAGCGAGCUGUGAUCCGGGGGUGUCCGAAUGGGGAAACCUGGAAUGUCCGGAGUAGUGUCCGGUGGCCCUGCCCUGAAUGUAUAGGGGUGUGGGUGGUAACGCGGGGAAGUGAAACAUCUUAGUACCCGUAGGAAGAGAAAACAAGUGUGAUUCCGUGAGUAGUGGCGAGCGAAAGCGGAGGAGGCUAAACCGUGUGUGUGUUCAAGCCGGCAGGUGUUGCAUGUGCGGGGUUGUGGGGGCCUUGUGGUUCUGCUGCCGCAGGAUUGGCCAGUGAGAAAUGUUGCGUGAAGGUGAAGCGUCUGGGAAGGCGUACCGGAGUGGGUGAGAGUCCUGUAACUGUAAGCGUGGCACUGGUGUGGGGUUGCCCCGAGUAGCGUGGGACUCGUGGAAUUUCGCGUGAAUCUGGCGGGACCACCCGUCAAGCCUAAAUACUCCUUGGUGACCGAUAGUGGAUGAGUACCGUGAGGGAAGGGUGAAAAGUACCCCGGGAGGGGAGUGAAAGAGUUCCUGAAACCGGUCGCAUGCAAGCCGUCAGAGCCUGUGUGGUGAUGGCGUGCCUUUUGAAGAAUGAGCCUGCGAGUUAGUGAUGCGUGGCGAGGUUAACCCGUGGUGGGGGAGUCGUAGCGAAAGCGAGUCCGAUAAGGGCGUGAGUCGCGUGUUCUAGACCCGAAGCGGUGUGAUCUAUCCAUGGCCAGGAUGAAGCGUCGGUAAGACGUCGUGGAGGUCCGAACCCACUUCAGUUGAAAAUGGAGGGGAUGAGUUGUGGAUAGGGGUGAAAGGCCAAUCAAACACCGUGAUAGCUGGUUCUCCCCGAAAUGCAUUUAGGUGCAGCGUUGCGUGGUUCUUGUUGGAGGUAGAGCACUGGAUGGUCUAGGGGGCUUAUCGGCUUACCGAAAUCAGCCAAACUCCGAAUGCUGGCAAGUGUAGCGUGGCAGUGAGACGGCGGGGGAUAAGCUUCGUCGUCGAGAGGGAAACAGCCCAGAUCAUCAGCUAAGGCCCCUAAGUGGUGACUCAGUGGGAAAGGAUGUGGAGUUGCGUAGACAACCAGGAGGUUGGCUUGGAAGCAGCCAUCCUUGAAAGAGUGCGUAAUAGCUCACUGGUCAAGUGAUUCCGCGCCGAUAAUGUAGCGGGGCUUAAGUUAUCCGCCGAAGCUGUGGCAACCUGUGUGGUUGGGUAGGGGAGCGUCGUGUCAGUGGUGAAGCUGCCGGGUGACUGUGUGGUGGAGUUGAUGCGAGUGAGAAUGCAGGCAUGAGUAGCGUGUGACGGGUGGGAAUCCCGUCCGCCGAUUAUCCAAGGGUUCCAGGGUCAAGUUUGUCUGCCCUGGGUGAGUCGGGUCCUAAGGCGAGGCCGACAGGCGUAGUCGAUGGGUAACCAGUUGAUAUUCUGGUACCGGCUUGUCACCGUCCGUGUCGAGGUGUGUGAUGCUAAGCAUGUGAGCUUGUCUUGGGAGUGUUUUUGAUGCUUCUGGGGUGGGUGAGUGUGUGAACCGAUCAUGUAGUAGGCAAGCUGCGGAGGGACGCAGUGAGGUAGCUCAUCCCCGGUGAUGGUUGUCCGGGGCUAAGUGUGUGGACUGUCUGGUAGGUAAAUCCGCUGGGCGUGAAGGUUGAGGCAUGAUGGGGAGCCCAUGGUUGUGGGUGAGUGAGUGAUCCUGUACUGUCGAGAAAAGCUUCGUGAGCGAGGUGGCGGGUCCGCCCGUACCCUAAACCGACACUGGUGGAUAGGUAGAGUAUACCGAGGCGAUCGAGUGAAUCGUGGUGAAGGAACUCGGCAAAAUGCCCCCGUAACUUUGGGAUAAGGGGGACCUGAGCUGUCGUGCACCCGUGCGGUGUGGUGGCGGUGAGGGGCGCAGAGUCCAGGGGGAAACGACUGUUUACCAAAAACACAGGUCCGUGCGAAGUCGUAAGACGAUGUAUACGGACUGACUCCUGCCCGGUGCUGGAAGGUUAAGGGGAACUGUGAGUGUAUGCGUAGCGGUGAACUUAAGCCCCAGUAAACGGCGGUGGUAACUAUAACCAUCCUAAGGUAGCGAAAUUCCUUGUCGGGUAAGUUCCGACCUGCACGAAUGGAGUAACGAUUUCCCUACUGUCUCCACCAUGAACUCGGUGAAAUUGCAUUACGAGUAAAGAUGCUCGUUACGCGCAGCAGGACGGAAAGACCCCGGGACCUUUACUAUAGUUUGGUAUUGGUGAUUGGGACGGUUUGUGUAGGAUAGGUGGGAGACGUUGAUGCGGCCACGCUAGUGGUGGUGGAGUCGUUGGUGAAAUACCACUCUGAUUGUUCUGGUUAUCUCACUGUGGACCGUGAUCCGGUUCAAGGACAGUGCCUGAUGGGUAGUUUGACUGGGGCGGUCGCCUCCUAAAGAGUAACGGAGGCGCCCAAAGGUUCC
rnacentral:rRNA from 1 species